rnacentral:hammerhead_ribozyme from 1 species
GUACUACUGAAGAGUCCAAAACAAGGACGAAACAGCUGUCCAGUAC